UUGAUCCAGCAACCUUUGAUAAAGCACUUGAAAAGUUAAUAUGAGCAUGUGAGGAUGACAGCGUUGUGGGAUUUCAAUGCUAGAAGUGUUGAGGUUUUAUGUGAGGUACCACAACAUCCCACUGAAUUUUUCUCUGUAUGCAAGAUUCUAUUCUAUGAUACUUCAUUGAAGUUAAUGCAUUAUCUUCCUGAUUUGAUUUACUUAAUUCUCUUCCCAUCUUCAGUUUGAUGACCACAACUAUAAAAAUUUCAUAGAAAAAGAGGUUGAUAUUGCUGUGGACCUCUAGUGAUUUGUUCCAUAGAUGAAAUGAGGUUAGUCAACAAUUGAAGGCCAACAGCCAUUAAGGGAUCAUACUUUUUAGGGAGAAUUAGUUGAAGAGGACCAAAUCUCU